GCAAGGUUAAAACUCAAAUGAAUUGACGGGGGCCCGCACAAGCGGUGGAGCAUGUGGUUUAAUUCGAUGCAACGCGAAGAACCUUACCUACUCUUGACAUCCAGAGAACUUAGCAGAGAUGCUUUGGUGCUUUCGGGAACUCUGAGACAGGUGCUGCAUGGCUGUCGUCAGCUCGUGUUGUGAAAUGUUGGGUUAAGUCCCGCAACGAGCGCAACCCUUUUCCUUUGUUGCCCAGCGGUUCGGCCGGGAACUCAAAGGAGACUGCCCAGUGAUAAACUGGAGGAAGUGGGGGAUGACGUCAAGUCAUCAUGGCCCUUACGAGUAGGGCUACACACGUGCUACAAUGGCAUAUACAAAGAGAAGCGACCUCGCGAGAGCAAGCGGACUUCAUAAAGUAUGUCGUAGUCCGGAUUGGAGUCUGCAACUCGACUCCAUGAAGUCGGAAUCGCUAGUAAUCGUAGAUCAGAAUGCUACGGUGAAUACGUUCCCGGGCCUUGUAA
rnacentral:rRNA from 1 species